AAAAAUAUGAAAAUGUUGAGCGUGUUAACAAAAAACUAAAAUUAAAAAUUGUUAUCUUCACCAAAAACACCAAAAAACCUGCCAUUUCAAGACCAAACACAAGAAAAAGGAAGAAAGUUCCCAAAAGAUGAGGGAAAAAAUUGGUAGUGAGCGAGGGGAAAAGCUGGAGGUUAGAAAAAAUUGGUUUUGAUUGGAGAGAGAUGGAGAAGAAGCUUACUCUGCUUCAGACUGUUGCCACUGCUGGCGUCUUCUCUGCCAUUUCCUUCUGGUAUGGGUUCAUGUUUGGGAGGGAGUCCUCUCGUAAAGAGCUCUCACAGUUAAUCGAAGAUCUCCGAAACGGAAACCCCUCUUCCUCUUGCUCCGUUUCCAGUUCCCAAUCUUGAAAUGAAAUGGUUUCUCUCGUUUCCUUCACGCCAUCGUCACCAUGUGUUUGUACUUUGCUGUGUUACUUACCACGAUAACACUGCCCAAGUAAUUUCUGAAUCUGUCAUGGAAGCUCUUCAUGUAGUCAGAGUAAACUUGGAGGGGAGUCCUUCCUUUCAGCACAGGCAUGGAAUCACACCCUAAAGAGAUGUACUCAGGAUUCCUCCUCCCUGAUCUGUCUGUAUAAACCAGGUCAGGGUUCUUGCUGAUCUCUUCCAACACCCAUGGUGGUAGAGGAAUGCUGAAAAAUUGCAAUAAAAGAAUAAUUGUAAAUAAGUUUAUGUCGUGGUCAUUUAGAACUACCGAAAUUGUUAAUAUCAUCUAUCAUUUUAAGAAGAUGACGGUUAUGCCUAACACUACGAGUAUCAUUUAGUAAUAAAAAAAAAGGAUAUGGCUAAAA